AUAUCAAACUCUUUGGCAGAAUCCAAGUAGAUCACAUCCACUGCAACACCUCGAUCUUUACUUCUCCUUACUUCUUCGUGGAAUGCAAUUAAGUUAGUUUGACAUGACUUAUGUUUCACUAAACCAUACUGAUAGCAAUGUUCUUCUCAAUGAAUUCCUGAAUAUCAUCCCUUAAUAACCUUUCAAUUACUUUCCCAACCACAGAAGUUAAGCUCAG